UGACGUCAACUAACUGUUCAAGUUAUUGUCUCAGUUUGAUUCAAGAAUCCUAUAAUGCAUAUCUCUUCUUCGCACUUCAUUAAAACAACUUUGGCUGAAGAUAAGGAAAAGAACAAAUGAUCUCUCAUUUGUAUCCUCCCUAGAUGCAUUUCCAAUAUCUUGUCCUGAUUAUAGAACUUUCACAUGAAUCUUUAAGAUUUAUUCUAUUUUCUUAAGCUAAAUUUUGAAGAUAUUCCGUCUUUGAUCCAAAUUUCUUUAUUAUAGUUACUAGAGAUUUUUUCCGCGCUUCGCGCGGAUUAUGUCUUAUAAAUUUAUUUUAUUUAUAAUAUUAUUUGUUAAUUUUUUUUCUUUUAUAUUAACUUCUUGUUUUUCCAAUGUUAGUUUUUCUUAAUUUAAAUUUAUAUGUUAAUAAUUUUUCAUUUUUUUGUUGUAGAUAGAGAAUUAUAUUUUUUAUUGAUGGUUUUUUGUAUGUGAUAGUGACAUAAACUUUUUGAAAUUUUAAAAUAAUAUUAUAUAUAGUACGAUUAACACAUUAAAGAAGAGAAACAUAUUCAGACACAUUUUACACAGGUUUUAUAUGCAUAAUUUUAAACAUUAUAUAUGUAUAUAUUAUAAGUUUGAAACAUGUAAAUGCUUUCUAAAGCUAAAUACUUGUUCUGAGUUUACAUAACUUAUCGAAAGUUUUAUCUCUUUUUAAAUUCAAAUCACAGAAAAAAUAUAAAAAAGUCAGUAUAGAUAGGUUUUUU
rnacentral:lncRNA from 1 species